UGGGGAAUAUUGCACAAUGGGCGCAAGCCUGAUGCAGCCAUGCCGCGUGUGUGAAGAAGGCCUUCGGGUUGUAAAGCACUUUCAGUCGUGAGGAAGGUGGUAGUGUUAAUAGCACUAUCAUUUGACGUUAGCGACAGAAGAAGCACCGGCUAACUCCGUGCCAGCAGCCGCGGUAAUACGGAGGGUGCGAGCGUUAAUCGGAAUUACUGGGCGUAAAGCGCAUGCAGGUGGUUUGUUAAGUCAGAUGUGAAAGCCCGGGGCUCAACCUCGGAAUAGCAUUUGAAACUGGCAGACUAGAGUACUGUAGAGGGGGGAUAGAAGUUUCAGGUGUAGCGGUGAAAUGCGUAGAGAUCUGAAGGAAUACCGGUGGCGAAGGCGGCCCCCAUGGACAGAUACUGACACUCAGAUGCGAAAAGCGUGGGGAGCAAACAGGAUUAGAUACCCUGGUAGUCCACGCCGUAAACGAUGUCUACUUGGAGGUUGUGGCCUUGAGCCGUGGCUUUCGGAGCUAACGCGUUAAGUAGACCGCCUGGGAGUACGGUCGCAGAUUAAAAGCUCAAAUGAA
rnacentral:rRNA from 1 species